UACGUAGGUGGCAAGCGUUGUCCGGAAUUAUUGGGCGUAAAGCGCGCGCAGGCGGUCCCUUAAGUCUGAUGUGAAAUCCCGUGGCUUAACCACGGGCGGUCAUUGGAAACUGGGGGACUUGAGUGCAGAAGAGAAGAGCGGAAUUCCACGUGUAGCGGUGAAAUGCGUAGAGAUGUGGAGGAACACCAGUGGCGAAGGCGGCUCACUGGCCCGAUACUGACGCUGAGACGCGAAAGCGUGGGGAGCAAACAGG
rnacentral:rRNA from 1 species